rnacentral:rRNA from 1 species
AACGAACGCUGGCGGCAUGCCUAACACAUGCAAGUCGAACGAGACCUUCGGGUCUAGUGGCGCACGGGUGCGUAACGCGUGGGAACCUGCCCUUAGGUUCGGAAUAACUCCCCGAAAGGGGUGCUAAUACCGGAUAAUGUCUUCGGACCAAAGAUUUAUCGCCUUUGGAUGGGCCCGCGUUGGAUUAGCUAGUUGGUAGGGUAAAAGCCUACCAAGGCGACGAUCCAUAGCUGGUCUGAGAGGAUGAUCAGCCACACUGGGACUGAGACACGGCCCAGACACCUACGGGAGGCAGCAGUGGGGAAUAUUGGAAAAUGGGCGAAAGCCUGAUCCAGCAAUGCCGCGUGAGUGAUGAAGGCCUUAGGGUUGUAAAGCUCUUUUACCCGCGAUGAUAAUGACAGUACCGGGAGAAUAAGCUCCGGCUAACUCCGUG